GACGAACGCUGGCGGCGUGCUUAACACAUGCAAGUCGAACGGAAAGGCCCUGCUUUUGUGGGGUGCUCGAGUGGCGAACGGGUGAGUAACACGUGAGUAACCUGCCCUUGACUUUGGGAUAACUUCAGGAAACUGGGGCUAAUACCGGAUAGGAGCUCCUGCUGCAUGGUGGGGGUUGGAAAGUUUCGGCUGUUGGGGAUGGACUCGCGGCUUAUCAGCUUGUUGGUUGGUUAGUGGCUUACCAAGGCAGUGACGGGUAGCCGGCCUGAGAGGGUGACCGGCGACAUUGCGACUGAGAUAGGGCCCAGACUCCUAUGGGAGGCAGCAGUGGGGAAUAUUGCACAAUGGGAGGACGCCUGAUGCAGCAACCCCGCGUGCGUGAUGCCGUCCUUCGGGUUGUAAACAGCUUUAGCCUGUGACGAAGCGUGAGUGACGGUAAUGGGUAAAGAAGCACCGGCUAACUACGUG
rnacentral:rRNA from 1 species